GUGAGCAGUUUCAUCUCUACACCUGCUGAAAUAACCACCAUAAAGACCUGGAGGACACAGCCCGGGAUGCAGAUGGAGCUGCUGUGCCUCAGAGAGUUGGCAAUGUACUUGGGGACCAUGGCUGAGAGGAGGCAGAGAUUUCCACAGGUGUCUCUGCUUUAAUGUGAAGGAACUAGCAAUAUCAACAUGACAGAUCAGAGAACCCUGCUACCCUCCCCAACCACAAAGUUGGCACUCUCUGACCAACAGAAAGUAGGAAAAAAGAAAGAAAGAAAAUAAAACAAGAACAAAGUACAGAUCAAGGGGGACACUGCGUAGAAAAGAACUAUUUCAGGCAUUGCACCCCGUGAAUGGGAACUGUGGAGAACCAUGCAGGAAUCGCCAGGAAGUGAGAAAACAGCUCCAGGCACCAUUAGAGGAAGACAAGGACUCCUCCAGAGACCUGCAAAUAGCCCAAGGCCAGCUGGAAGAUUCCGUCCACAGAAGGGAAGGCCAAAGUCUACUCCAUCUGCCUUCCCCACCUGCUGGUUGUGUUGCUGUUUCUCUACACUGGAUGCUUUGCUUAUAUGAAGCCAACCUCAGAGACCCCGUCCAUGUCUGACCUGGUCAUUUCUAUGUACUAC